rnacentral:rRNA from 1 species
ACUGCUCAGUAACACGUAUAGGAAUUGGCGGGGGAGCACAUACUGCUCAGUAACACGUAUAGGAAUUGGCGGGGGAGCACAUACUGCUCAGUAACACGUAUAUAAGGAAUUGGCGGGGGAGCACGUACGGCUCAGUAACACGUAGUCAACAUGCCCAGGGGACGUGGAUAACCUCGGGAAACUGAGGAUAAACCGCGAUAAGUCACUACUUCUGGAAUGGGUAAUGACUAAAAUCUACAUGGCCCCUGGAUUGGACUGCGGCCGAUCUGGCUGUUGGUGAGGUAAUGGCCCACCAAACCUGUAACCGGUACGGGCUCUGAGAGGAGGAGCCCGGAGAUGGGCACUGAGACAAGGGCCCAGGCCCUAUGGGGCGCAGCAGGCGCGAAACCUCUGCAAUAGGCGAAAGCCUGACAGGGUUACUCUGAGUGAUUCCGUUAAGGAGAUCUUUUGGCACCUCUAAAAAUGGUGCAGAAUAAGGGGUGGCCAAGUCUGGUGUCAGCCGCCGCGGUAAUACCAGCACCCCGAGUGGUCGGGACGUUUAUUGGGCCUAAAGCAUCCGUAGCCGGUUCUACAAGUCUUCCGUUAAAUCCACCUGCUUAACAGAUGGGCUGCGGAAGAUACUAUAGAGCUAGGAGGCGGGAGAGGCAAGCGGUACUCGAUGGGUAGGGGUAAAAUCCGUUGAUCCAUUGAAGACCACCAGUGGCGAAGGCGGCUUGCCAGAACGCGCUCGACGGUGAGGGAUGAAAGCUGGGGGAGCAAACCGGAUUAGAUACCCGGGUAGUCCCAGCUGUAACCGAUGCAGACUCGGUGAUGAGUUGGCUUCUUGCCAACUCAGUG